rnacentral:rRNA from 1 species
AUGAACGCUGGCGGCGUGCCUAAUACAUGCCAGUCGAGCGAACAGACGAGGAGCUUGCUCCUCUGACGUUAGCGGCGGACGGGUGAGUAACACGUGGAUAACCUACCUAUAAGACUGGGAUAACUUCGGGAAACCGGAGCUAAUACCGGAUAAUAUAUUGAACCGCAUGGUUCAAUAGUGAAAGACGGUUUUGCUGUCACUUAUAGAUGGAUCCGCGCCGCAUUAGCUAGUUGGUAAGGUAACGGCUUACCAAGGCGACGAUGCGUAGCCGACCUGAGAGGGUGAUCGGCCACACUGGAACUGAGACACGGUCCAGACUCCUACGGGAGGCAGCAGUAGGGAAUCUUCCGCAAUGGGCGAAAGCCUGACGGAGCAACGCCGCGUAAGUGAUGAAGGUCUUCGGAUCGUAAAACUCUGUUAUUAGGGAAGAACAAAUGUGUAAGUAACUAUGCACGUCUUGACGGUACCUAAUCAGAAAGCCACGGCUAACUACGUG